UUUUUUUUUGUGCACUUAGUUUUUCGCUGGCUCCCUCGAACCGACUUCCCCUUUUGAUUUUACCGGUUCCACCGCCUUGCUGACCACCGUCUUUAUCGUCCAAUGAAAUCAUGCGAUUUUGUAAAACGUAUCGUCAAGAACGUCGCCCCUCCAUCUCAUUUUUUUUUUGUGCAUAUCAGAUGGCUACCCGGACAUACUCUCAACGAAGCUUUUUGAUUUUGGGGAGGGUAUGUUCAAAUUACAAAGGAGUUUGAGAGUGGGUUUCGAUUUCCUAAAGGGUUCUACGGUUCGACUCCAUGCAUCUUCCAAAUCUUACGUUAUCUGUUGUCUCCGCUCGUCAAUCACAGAACCACAACCAUAACUGCACAAUUGGUGGCGCUCAACAGCGGCGGUGUUCUACCCUGCAGCUUUACUCUUGGGAGCUUUCAUCUUGACAAAGCCUUAUGUUCCAACAAUUUGCGAGCAUGUGUGAGAGACCGGAGGAAAUACACACCCGACUUCUCGCCACCACCAUCAUGGGCUUCAUAAUUACCCUGCUUAGUUCUUAAAAUCGACCAUAUGAGGAUUUCGAAUCAGGUUGUGGGUGGAGGAUGGCUAAUAAUACCCCAUGAAUACAAUUCAGUUAUACCCACCCAGUUGGUUAUGAGAUUUCAAAGAAACAAUUUGUCCCAUGUUCUUUGUUCGGGGACAGCUUUGAUUACAAACUUUCUUUGACAUUUGAGAAACCCCUUCUCAACAACCACUUUGCUCAUAAGAAUCUUGGUCAGGCUUUCGGUAUCAUGAGGACUGAAGUUGUUGGAAUAGUCAGAAGAUUUUAUAUUCGGUGGGUAAACGACAACUUUAUUUGGCGACAACAAUUGGAACAGUGGCUUAUUGGAUGGUUCAAAUGCGACCACUUAGGCAAGAAGGAUGCAGAAUUGGACAUAUUGGUGGAGGUGAUGAGCUAUAACAUGCAUUAACAUUGUAAUUAGUUUGUUAAAGAAUCAUUCUAUAAUUAUAAAUAGAACUAAUGGGUUAUUUAUUUAUUUAUUUUAUUUUAUUUUAAUGACUUUGUAGCUUUCACUUAUGUUGUCAUUACUUCAGAGAUUUCCCCUUCAGUUUUAGGUGUUGGAUUAGCUACAGAUAAUGUUAUCCGUGCAGUAUAUUUUAUUACAUUGUUUGCACUAGCUGCUAAAACUCCUCCAGAGAGUUCAAUAUCAACCACCGGUUUGUUAUGAUACUCUUUCCCACAUUCAAUCAUGUUAUUUAUAUUACAUGUGAAAACAUUAUAGUUUAUUAUAAGAUGUAAUCUUAAAUAAACCUUGAAUAUUGAUAGAUGUUGAAAAAGAUGUGAAAUCAGAAUCCAAGAGCAAACUUCCAUUGCUGCAGUCAUCCACAACCCUUGCUAUAUCCUUUGCUAUCUACAAAAUUGGAAGUUUGAUAACAAAAUAUUUGGCAUACCAGGAGAUUUCGUAUUACAUGUAAAAUCAAAUGCGCCUAAUUUUUUUGGCAGUGGCAUUCAUUUACUAUCAACUUAUUUUUAUGACUUAUUACGAUUAUGGAAGUACCAAACUUAAAUGUGUGUGUGGUCCUGAUUCUUACAUGGGUGCAUACAUUGUGGAGUUAUUUAAACAGAUAACAUUGAUGACUGAAGAAGGAAUAGCCAAGAUACUGUUAUGAUCCAGCGAUUUGGUAAGGUCUAUCGCAGGAGGAUUAGGUAAGUAAUUGGUUUGGAUAAUGAUAAGGGGUAGUUUAGGAUAUAUCUAAAUAGAAUUUGUUUGGAUAAGUAGAAGAUAAUAGUUAUCUGUUUAGUUUUUGUUGCUGUCAAUUAGCAGGACACUAUUUAAGGUGCUCCAUAUGUUUAGUUUUUUUAUGCAUUAAUAAAAACACCGUGCAAGUUCCUAUUA